rnacentral:lncRNA from 1 species
CUAGGAGUAGAGCAAGUCUCUCCUGAAGACAGGCAAGCUGGAGCCCCCAUUCAGCCACCAAAGAGAGGGAGAAAGGAAAGACAAAGGUGCAUGAAAGGGGGGCGGGGGCAAUUUUUUUUUAAAAGCACACUUACCACUGUGCAGAGAGCAGAGCAAUGCAGCACAGAAGAGGGAGAGGGUAUUCACGCUAUGGUAAGCCAAGAGGAGGAGAAGAGGGCGAAGGGAG